rnacentral:misc_RNA from 1 species
GAAAUGCGAUACGUAAUGUGAAUUGCAGAAUUCAGUGAAUCAUCGAAUCUUUGAACGCAUAUUGCGCUCUUUGGUAUUCCGAAGAGCAUGCUUGUUUGAGUAUCAGUAAACACCUCAACCUCCUCUUGAUUUUUCAAAAGGAGGGUGGACUUGAGCUAUCCCAACAACCUUUAUCGGUCGGCGGGCGGCUUGAAAUGCAGGUGCAGCUGGACUUUUAUCUGAGCUAAAAGCAUAUCUAUUUAGUCCUCGUCAAACAGGAUUAUUACUUUUGCUGCAGCUAACAUAAAGGAUAAUUGUCCUCUUUGCUGAUACUCAAAUCAAGUAAGACUACCCGCUGAACUUAA